rnacentral:misc_RNA from 1 species
AAGGUCACCGGUUGCCCCCUUCCCCCGGGGCAAAUGCCCUGGGACUGGGGGACACGCUGCCCUCCCGCAGCCUUACGGGGCAAGGGAGUGGGGCCGGCUGAAUCCCACCCGUGUCUAUCUACUCUUGUUGCUUUGGCAGGCCGUGGUCUCCACUGUAGGCUCUGCCUGCACGUGCCUGCCAGAGGACCAAACUCUGAAUUUUAGUGAUGUCUGAGUACUAUAUAAUAGUUAAAACUUUCAACAACGGAUCUCUUGGUUCU